rnacentral:rRNA from 1 species
ACGGGACCCGCACAAGCGGUGGAUGAUGUGGUUUAAUUCGAUGCAACGCGAAAACCUUACCUACCUUGACAUGUACAAGAAUUUGCAGAGAUGUGAAAGUGCUCGAAAGAGAACUUGAACACAGGUGCUGCAUGGCCGUCGUCAGCUCGUGUCGUGAGAUGUUGGGUUAAGUCCCGCAACGAGCGCAACCCUUGUCAUUAGUUGCUACCGCAAGGAGCACUCUAAUGAGACUGCCCGGUGACAAACCGGAGGAAGGUGGGGAUGACGUCAGGUCCUCAUGGCCCUUAUGGGUAGGGCUACACACGUCAUACAAUGGCCGGUACAGAGGGCUGCCAACCCGCGAGGGGGAGCCAAUCCCAGAAAACCGGUCGUAGUCCGGAUCGUAGUCUGCAACUCGACUGCGUGAAGUCGGAAUCGCUAGUAAUCGCGGAUCAGCUUGCCGCGGUGAAUACGUUCCCGGGUCUU